UACAGAGGGGGCAAGCGUUGUUCGGAAUGACUGGGCGUAAAGGGCGCGUAGGCGGCCGCUUGCGUCGGAUGUGAAAGCCCGGGGCUCAACCCCGGAACGGCAUCCGAUACGGGGUGGCUCGAGACCGAGAGAGGUGAGUGGAAUACCCAGUGUAGAGGUGAAAAUUCGUAGAUAUUCGCAAGAACACCAGUGGCAAAGGCGGCUCACUGGCCCGAUACUGACGCUGAGGCACGAAAGCGUGGGGAGCAAACAGGG
rnacentral:rRNA from 1 species